UGGGGAAUAUUGGACAAUGGGGGAAACCCUGAUCCAGCCAUGCCGCGUGAACGAUGAAGGCCUUCGGGUUGUAAAGUUCUUUUGGUGGGGACGAUGAUGACGGUACCCACAGAAUAAGCACCGGCUAACUUCGUGCCAGCAGCCGCGGUAAUACGAAGGGUGCUAGCGUUGUUCGGAAUUACUGGGCGUAAAGGGCGCGUAGGCGGUUUAACAAGUUGGGUGUGAAAGCCCAGGGCUCAACCCUGGAACUGCACUCAAAACUGUUUUACUUGAAUUCGGUAGAGGUUGGUGGAAUUCCCAGUGUAGAGGUGAAAUUCGUAGAUAUUGGGAAGAAUAUCCGUGGCGAAGGCGGCCAACUGGACCGACAUUGACGCUGAGGCGCGAAAGCGUGGGGAGCAAACAGG
rnacentral:rRNA from 1 species